rnacentral:lncRNA from 1 species
CACGAUUAACAUGGAUAUCCUUCCCUCCCAAAGAUUAACAUGGAUAUCCUUCCCUCCCAACGAUUAACAUGGAUAUCCUUCCCUCCCAAAGAUUAACAUGGAUAUCCUUCCCUCCCAACGAUUAACAUGGAUAUCCUUCCCUCCCAAAAAUUAAUAUCUUAAUCUAUAUUGUUUUAAAAAAAAAAAUCUUCUUAGAAUUGCAAAAAUGUGUUUUUUCCAUUUUUUGUAAUAAUAGUCAAUCUCAGAAUGCACAAUAAGAAAACUUGGCUGUCAACUCGUUCGAUCACUUUGAUGUGUUUUUAAAUAUACGUGUUAACCAAGGGUUAUUUUUAUUGUGAUAUAAACCUCAGAUUGUUUUCAGAUGCACGUUUUACUUGUUUCAAGCAAUGUUUUAGCUUUAUGGUUUGUGGUCGAAAUUCUAUUGUACACUUUUACUGGAAAUGUGUAAUGGUCCAAUUGAGAAGGAUAUGAUUAAAAUUAUUUACCAGUCUUAUUGUAAGGUAAUAUACCAAUUAAUAACUGUCAAUGCUUCAAGGCUGUCAAUUAGAUUUUGGUACAUAAUGGGAUAUUUAAACCUUUCUGAUCGGCUUCUCAAUGACAGCAACGUCUUAGUCUCCUGAGUUUACACACAUGUACAGACUACGACUGUUUUAUAGAAGUGACAAUUUUUACAAUUCUAUCCUAAGAUUACAUGCCUACAUGGACUACAACUCUUUUUAACUGCCACUACACGGCCUCCGAGCAGGAACUGUUGUCGUACACAAUAACUGUAAAGAAACAGUUGGAGUCAUUAGUGUGUCAAUGAGAGAAGGUAUAUAUUUAAUUGAUAAUUCUGCAUUCUGAUACUUAAGGUUCUUUCAAAACUAUAUUAAACAUAAAUAAAGUGAUGAACACUUUUCAGAAAUCCUGACUGUAUAACUAUCAUUUCAGUUCAAGCAGCAAACUAAAACUACAAGUAGGCAGCAAGUCAACCAUCAGGUAAUACUGUCUUAUCAACCCGUUACUACAAUCAGGUAAUACUGUCUUAUCAACCCGUUACUACAAUCAGGUAAUACUGUCUUAUCAACCCGUUACUACCAUCGGGUAAUACUGUCUUAUCAACCCGUUACUACCAUCGGGUAAUACUGUCUUAUCAACCCGUUACUACCAUCGGGUAAUACUGUCUUAUCAACCCGUUACUACCAUCGGGUAAUACGGUCUUAUCAACCCGUUACUACCAUCGGGUAAUACCGUCUUAUCAACCCGUUACUACCAUCGGGUAAUACCGUCUUAUCAACCCGUUACUACCAUCGGGUAAUACCGUCUUAUCAACCCGUUACUACCAUUAGGAUGUUUAUGUCUUUAAAGUUAAUGUACUCUACGUACUAAAGGUUUUGUUCUCAAGCUAACAUUGUUGGUUGCAAUGCGUAGAACACAUGACAGAAAAAUUCAAUUUAUCCACGCACAUAAUUGCAAUGGUUUUAUAAUCUCUCGUGUCUCAUUCUUUGGUUCUUUUCGUCCCCUAUAACCUCUGGUUUCAUCAAAUGAACUUAAUCUAUUUAUUUCUAUGGUAUAUAGCAUGGUUAAUGUAGCAGAUUGUGGAUGGAUGAAAGAACAGUUUUCUGAAUUAUUGAAAACUUCAUUCAAUUCUGUAUUUACACAAGUAACUUGCAGAGGCUGUUUUUCUGUAGUUUUAAACGCAACUCACUCUUCAUUAUGUUAGGAAUAUCUAUCAAAUGUUGCUUCGAAGCUUUGGGUACUUACACAUUUCAAAGACUUGAUGGUCCAUUUAAAACCAAACUUUCACUGACCUUCUCCUGUUUUGUUCAGUGACACAAGACUAGUGCUUAUUCUAAAUAUAACUGUCUGUGUCAGUAAAUAAUAUGAUUAUGGUUCUGAAACUAUUCAUAAAAUGAUUGUGUUACUACGAUAAGUAAUAGAUAAAUAAGAGUUAGUAGUUGGUUAAAAAAACUUUACAAGUUUCCAAUAACAAGCCCUAAGUGACUGAUGUUGUUUUUGUCAGUUUCAAGAAGAUAUGAAAAAUAGAAAAGUAAACAAGCCAAGAAACUGUAAAAGUAACUGAUGUUAUUAUUUAUAUAUUACUUAUUGACAAGGAAUUUUAUAUAUUAUUUUAUUUUUAAUUUGAUUUAUGUCAUGUAUAUUUAUUUAAUUUCGACAGUGCCAAAUGAAGGACGUCAACAUGCUGUCAAAAUUAAUAGUAUUUUAUCCCACUGGUCUGUGUGAAUAAUAAUGGUGUAUGAAUGUAUUUUUUUAAGAGUUUUAGAACUGUUGUUCUUGGAGUAAGAUACACUGUAUGUGACAUUCAGCAAGUACACUCCUUUGAUAAAAUAGAGAGUUUGUGAAGGAAGUAAAAGUUGCUUCGUGUUAGAAACUGUGAGUUAAGAAAUUGUUUUUCUUGGAUGCUACUUGACACAGUAUAUCUGCAGGUGGUACAAACAGAUUAAUGAUUGUUAGUUUUCAAUAACAUAUGGACCUGGGACAACACUUACUAAAGUAAGUGAUAAAGAGUAUAAAGCUGAUCCAUAAAGAAAAAUACAUUUGGUUUGAGACAAAAAAAAUAACGCAGCGUUGACUUGUGUAAUGGAUAGUACUUUUUUUGUUUUUUAGGCAUUCUACUUGGCUUAGCAGUUUAAAUAUAAAAUUGUGUCAUUCCAAAGCUAGAUAGUGUAUGAAAUUUAAUAGUUAUUAGAUUUUAAUAAAGUUAUUACUAUUAUUAUCAUUAUUAAUCAAGCCCCCCCCCAAAAAAAAUAUUGAUGUAAUUUUCAAACUUUGUAAGUAUCAUUUAUCCUGUAUAGUGUUAGAUACUUUUUUUUUUACUUUACCAUUUACUUAUCACUAUUAAUUGUAUUGUUUUAUCUUAUUUUAAGCUGUGGAACUUAAAGAUUAAAUUGAAAUGGGAGAACAGUGUGUAUUUAUGUGAAAUGUUCAUCAGACUUCAUUCGAUAUAACAUUAACUUGUAUUAGAAAUUCCAUUAUUUCUUCUUUGAAAUCAUGCGUCUGAAUAAUAAACGCGUAGCGCUUUCGUAAUAAGCUACAUAUCUUGAUGUAUGUGAAACUAGUGACUGGUUCGAAGUGUUAUUUAAUAGAAACAUCUAAAAUUCCAUGUGUAGUAAGUAAUAAGACCAUUAUGGGUAUUAUUAUUAUUAGGGUUAGUCAUCUUCAGACUUUUAUUUUGUAGGCUCACUCAGUAAUUUAUUGUUUGUUUGUUUUCUGGCACAGUUAGUAUGGAAACAUUUAUUUUAAAUAUCAAAGUGUGGAGAACAUAAAUUUAUUUGAUGUACUGUGUACUGUUGAAUAAACGUGUUACACUGUGACACAAUCUAGUUAA